rnacentral:rRNA from 1 species
CAGUAGCCGCGGGAAUACGGAGGGUGCAAGCGUUACUCGGAAUCACUGGGCGUAAGGGACGCGUAGGCGGAUUAUCAAGUCUCUUGUGAAAUCUAACGGCUUAACCGUUAAACUGCUUGGGAAACUGAUAAUCUAGAGUAAGGGAGAGGCAGAUGGAAUUCUUGGUGUAGGGGUAAAAUCCGUAGAUAUCAAGAAGAAUACCUAUUGCGAAGGCGAUCUGCUGGAACUUAACUGACGCUAAUGCGUGAAAGCGUGGGGAGCAAACAGGAUUAGAUACCCGCGUAGUCCCUGUCUCUUAUAC